rnacentral:tRNA from 1 species
GUUAAAGAGCCAGAAAUAAAAUGGGAGGAAUUUAAGCUUCCUUUAUGAAAUUAUAAUCCUUUAAUA